AACGUAGGACACAAGCGUUAUCCGGAGUUACUGGGCGUAAAGGGCGUGUAGGCGGACGUGUAAGUCUAUUCUGAAAGCUCCUGGCUAAACUGGGAGAGGCGAAUGGAGACUGCAUAUCUAGAGUGAGGAAGAGGAAAGUGGAAUUCCGCGUGUAGUGGUGAAAUGCGUAGAGAUGUGGAGGAACACCGAUGGCGAAGGCAGCCCCCUGGGCUAACACUGACGCUCAUGCACGAAAGCGUGGGGAGCAAACAGG
rnacentral:rRNA from 1 species